rnacentral:tRNA from 1 species
UGGGGAGUCGUCUAAUGGCAGGACGCCUGGUUCUGGCCCAGGUAAUCGGGGUUCGAAUCCCUGCUCCCCAG